CCUACGGGUGGCAGCAGUGGGGAAUAUUGGACAAUGGGCGAAAGCCUGAUCCAGCCAUGCCGCGUGUGUGAAGAAGGCCUUCGGGUUGUAAAGCACUUUCAGUGGGGAAGAAAGCCUUGGGGCUAAUACCCGCGAGGAAGGACAUCACCCACAGAAGAAGCACCGGCUAACUCCGUGCCAGCAGCCGCGGUAAUACGGAGGGUGCGAGCGUUAAUCGGAAUUACUGGGCGUAAAGCGCGCGUAGGCGGUCUGAUAAGCCGGUUGUGAAAGCCCCGGGCUCAACCUGGGAACGGCAUCCGGAACUGUCAGGCUAGAGUGCAGGAGAGGAAGGUAGAAUUCCCGGUGUAGCGGUGAAAUGCGUAGAGAUCGGGAGGAAUACCAGUGGCGAAGGCGGCCUUCUGGACUGACACUGACGCUGAGGUGCGAAAGCGUUGGUAGCAAACAGGAUUAGAUACCCUAGUAGUC
rnacentral:rRNA from 1 species